AGCCCUGUAGAGCCCUAUGGGAGUCCUGUAAAGUCCUGUAGAACCCUAUGGGAGUCCUGUAGAGCCCUAUGGGAGCCCUGUAGAGUCCUGUAGAGCCCUAUUGGAGCCAUGUGGAGCCCUAUGGGAGUCCUGUAGAGCCCUCUGGAGCCAUGUGGAGCCCUAUGGGAGUCCUGUAGAGUCCUGUAGAGCCCUAUGGGAGUCCUGUAGAGCCCUCUGGAGCCAUGUGGAGCCCUAUGGGAGUCCUGUAGAGCCCUGUGGGAGUCCUGUAGAGCCCUAUGGGAGCCCUGUAGAGUCCUGUAGAGCCCUAUUGGAGCCAUGUGGAGCCCUAUGGGAGUCCUGUAGAGCCCUCUGGAGCCAUGUGGAGCCCUAUGGGAGUCCUGUAGAGUCCUGUAGAGCCCUAUGGGAGUCCUGUAGAGCCCUCUGGAGCCAUGUGGAGCCCUAUGGGAGUCCUGUAGAGCCCUGGUCAAAAGCUGUGUGUUACAUAGGACAUAGGGUUCCAUUUGAGAUGCAUCAAGGGAACAUGGGAUAUACAGUGGGGCAAAACAAGUAAUUAGUCAGCCACCAAUUGUGCAAGUUCUCCCACUUAAAAAGAUGAGAGAGGCCUGUAAUUUUCAUCAUAGGUACACUUCAACUAAUGACAGACAAAAUGAGAGAAAAAAAAUCAGAAAAUCACAUUGUAGGAUUUUUAAUGAAUUUAUUUGCAAAUUAUGGUGGAAAAUAAGUAUUUGGUCAAUAACAAAAGUUUAUCUCAAUACUUUGUUAUAUACCCUUUGUUGGCAAUGACAGAGGUCAAACAUUUUCUGUAAGUCUUUACAAGGUUUUCACACACUGUUGCUGGUAUUUUGGCCCAUUCCUCCAUGCAGAUCUCCUCUAGAGCAGUGAUGUUUUGGGGCUGUUGCUGGGCGGUUGUGGACAGGUGUCUUUAAUUCUGAUAACAAGUUCAAACAGGUGCCAUUAAUACAGGUAACGAGUGGAGGACAGAGGAGCCUCUUAAAGAAGAAGUUACAGGUCUGUGAGAGCCAGAAAUCUUGCUUGUUUGUAGGUGACCAAAUACUUAUUUUCCACCAUAAUUUGCAAAUAAAUUCAUAAAAAAUCCUAUAAUGUGAUUUUCUGGAUUUUUUCUUCUCAUUUUGUCUGUCAUAGUUGAAGUGAACCUAUGAUGAAAAUUACAGGCCUCUCUCAUCUUUUUAAGUGGGAGAACUUGCACAAUUGGUGGCUGACUAAAUACUUUUUUGCCCCACUGUACAUUUACAGCAAGUACUAAUCCAAAUUUAAACGUCCAUGUUUACUACGAUGUUUUAUAGGGAAACAUGUUUACUAAUGUCUAAUGGUUUCUUUACUUCAUGUUUACUAAUGUCUAAUGGCUUUCGUUUUGCUUAUUUCAUUAAAGCUUUUUCCUUAGCAUUUAAAGUAGUAUUAAGUACUUAUUUUAUGUAUAUUUAUCAUACACUGAUGAACUAUUCUCAUAAGCACUUAUACUAGUGUUCUCUGUGAAUAAGGCGUCAAGUCAAUUGAAAUUUAAAGGUAAUUUCCUAUUGAGCUGACAUAAAGUGUUUACAAUGAAUGGGAUCUCUGCAUAUGCGGGCACAUUACCUUUAAAAGGGACAAUUGUAACGUGCAAUAGGAUUGAAUCCCGGCCUAGAUUCUAGUUGUUGUACUAGUGAUUCUUACAAAACAUAGUGAACACUAGAAAACGCUCUCGAUAUGUGAUCAAACAGCUUGUUUAAUGGAUUUCAUAGACACAGCCUGAGGAGGACCAUCACGUUCAUCAUUAUUCUCAUUUGAUGUUCACAGGGUUAAUAGCAGAUAUACAGUUGAAGUCUGAAGUUUACAUACACCUUAGCCAAAUACAUUUAAACUCAGUUUUUCACAAUUCCUUAACUUAAUCCGAGUAAAAAAUUAUCUGUUUUAGGUCAGUUAGAUAGGAUCACCACUUUAUUUUAAAAAUGUGAAAUGUCAGCUCUUAAUUUCUUUCAUCACAUUCCCAGUGAGUCAGAAGUUUACAUACGCUCAAUUAGUAUUUGGUAGUAUUGCCUUUAAAUCGUUUAACUUGGGUCAAACGUUUCGGCUAGCCUUCCAAAAGCUUCCCACAUUAAGUUGGGUGAAUGUUGCCCCAUUUCUCCUGACAGAGCUGGUGUAACUGAGUCAGGUUUGUAGGCCUCCUUGUUCGCACACGCUUUUUCAGUUCUGCACACAAAUGUUCUAUAGGCUUGAGGUCAGGGCUUUGUGAUGGCCACUCCAAUACCUUGACUUUGUUGUCCUUAAGCCAUUUUGCCACAACUUUGGAAGUAUGCUUGAGGUCAUUGUCCAUUUGGAAGACCCAUUUGCGACCAAGCUUUAACUUUCUGACUGAUGUGCUUUACGAUUGGGAUGGUGUUCUUCGGCUUGCAAGCCUCCCCCUUUUUCCUCCAAACAUAACGAUGGUCAUUAUGGGCCAAUAGUUAUAUUUUUGAUUCAUCAGACCAGAGGACAUUUAUCCAAAAAGUAUGAUCUUUGUCCCCAUGUGCAGUUGCAAACCGUAGUCUACAGCCAGGCUGUGUCGAUAUAGGACUUGUUUUACUGUAGAUAUAGAUACCUUUGUACCUGUUUCCUCCAGUAUCUUCACAAGGUCCUUUGCUGUUGUUCUGGGAUUGAUUUGCACUUUUCUCACCAAACUACAUUCAUCUCUAGGAGACAGAAC
rnacentral:lncRNA from 13 species